rnacentral:misc_RNA from 1 species
UUUCUUUUGUUAUAUAUUUUCGUUUCAUUCUUUAGACAGAGUAAAGGUAAAAAAGAGCAGGAGUCGAGGCCGUUAAACCCCUUCUCCCGUCAAAUGCACAUGUGUAAGAAAGUGGAUAAGGUCGGACCCGUUUCCCCCGCAAGGAGGCAACGACGUCCUAAUAUUCACUAAUGAUCCUUCCGCAGGUUCACCUACGGAAA